GAGGUUUCUGUGUGAGACCCGAGGCGGGCGGGGAGAGGCGUGACCCACCGAGAUGAGGGAGGUGGUGUAGUGCCUUGCAGUACCUCUGUGUGGCCCUACAGCUGCUACUGGAGUGAGGAGACCUGCGUCCAAGCUAACAGCUGGAGUCUUUCGCGGACCACUUGCCUUCUGUCUCUGGGAUUAAAGGGGAAGCCGAAAGCUGGGAAGGGCGCAGCUCUCUUCUGCAGCUUGCGUGGCUGCUGCAGCGGUAGCAGGUGAGGACUCAGCCCUGAGGAGAACCGAGGUGCCGAGCUCGGUCACCCGAGGCCGCUGCUGGGCAGUUAGUUGCUUUGUCUUCUGCGCUUUGAGGAGCUCAAGACACGCGCUCUUCCCAGGGGCGUGUGCCAGAGCGAAAGGCGGCGUGGGCGCGGAGGCGUGACACUCCAGCCCCGAGGGUCUUUUCGCGUCUCAUUUUCUUCUCCUCCGCCGUUGCCUCCCUUCUGUAUUCCUUGGGCUGGAGAGACCCGACAUUUCGGAAGAAACCGAAGGAAACUGCCGAGCGUCCGUGGCUGGUACUCCAGGCUGCGGGCUCGCUCCUCCAGAGUAGGCAGCCUCGAGUCUGGGGACUGAGCUUUUCCAGAGUAAAAACGGAGACGGCAGGUCACCGCCUCACCGGAUCAGUUCGAGUGGGCUGCACCUCGCGCGCUUCGAGGGAGAAGGACCGAGGGUGGGGACUUCAGGAUCGCAUGGACUAGGUUCUGGACGACUUCUGGGAGUUGGCGACCUUUGCAUUCCUGUGGGUGAUACUUGUUUGCUUCAGUGUGCUGGAAGCCUUAGAUGGGGGAAGUAGGAGGAAGCGUGGCUGGCUUUAGUACCCAGCAUCUUUUUGCCCUAGCCUGGCAUAGGGUAUUGUUUUGCUAUUGAAAAGACUUCAGUGAAAAAUACAGUUUUUGUUUCAGGCGGUUUCCAGUAACUGAAUUUUUUUUUUUUUUUUUUUUUUUAGAUUUUAUUUAUUUAUUUGACAGAGAUC
rnacentral:lncRNA from 1 species